rnacentral:rRNA from 1 species
CCUACGGGAGGCAGCAGUGAGGAAUAUUGGUCAAUGGGCGCGAGCCUGAACCAGCCAAGUAGCGUGAAGGAUGACUGCCCUACGGGUUGUAAACUUCUUUUAUAAAGGAAUAAAGUGAGGCACGUGUGCCUUUUUGUAUUUACUUUAUGAAUAAGGAUCGGUUACCUCCGUGCCAGCAGCCGCGGUAAUACGGAGGAUCCGAGCGUUAACCGGAUUUAUUGGGUUUAAAGGGAGCGUAGAUGGGUUGUUAAGUCAGUUGUGAAAGUUUGCGGCUCAACCGGAGAAUUGCAAUUGAUACUGGCAGGCUUGAGUGCAGAUGAGGUAGGAGGAAUGCGUGGUGUAGCGGUGAAAUGCAUAGAUAUCACGAAGAACUCCGAUUGCGAAGGCAGCUUACGAAACUGCCACUGACAUUGAUGCUCGAAAGUGUGGGUAUCAAACAGGAUUAGAUACCCUAGUAGUC